UCCAGACUCCUACGGGAGGCAGCAGUGGGGAAUAUUGCACAAUGGGGGAAACCCUGAUGCAGCGACGCCGCGUGAGUGAAGAAGUAUUUCGGUAUGUAAAGCUCUAUCAGCAGGAACGAGACAAGACGGUACCUGACUAAGAAGCCCCGGCUAACUACGUGCCAGCAGCCGCGGUAAUACGUAGGGGGCAAGCGUUAUCCGGAUUUACUGGGUGUAAAGGGAGCGUAGACGGCUGUGCAAGCCAGAUGUGAAAGCCCGGGGCUCAACCCCGGGACUGCAUUUGGAACUGUGUGGCUGGAGUGUCGGAGAGGCAGGCGGAAUUCCUAGUGUAGUGGUGAAAUGCGUAGAUAUUAGGAGGAACACCAGUGGCGAAGGCGGCCUGCUGGACGAUGACUGACGUUGAGGCUCGAAAGCGUGGGGAGCAAACAGGAUUAGAUACCCUCGUA
rnacentral:rRNA from 1 species